GGGGAAUAUUGGACAAUGGGGGUAACCCUGAUCCAGCGAUGCCGCGUGAGUGAUGAAGGCCUUCGGGUUGUAAAGCUCUUUUGUUGGGGACGAUGAUGACGGUACCCGACGAAUAAGCCCCGGCUAACUUCGUGCCAGCAGCCGCGGUAAUACGAAGGGGGCUAGCGUUGUUCGGAAUGACUGGGCGUAAAGGGCGCGUAGGCGGUUUGAUAAGUUUGGUGUGAAAGUCCUGGGCCUAACCUGGGGAUUGCAUUGGAUACUGUUGAGCUAGAGUCCGAGAGAGGGAAAUGGAAUUGCGAGUGUAGAGGUGAAAUUCGUAGAUAUUCGCAAGAACACCGGUGGCGAAGGCGGUUUUCUGGCUCGGUACUGACGCUAAGGCGCGAAAGCGUGGGGAGCAAAC
rnacentral:rRNA from 1 species